UCUUGGCGUCUUUCAUGUUCUGUUUUCUAUUUACUGUGCUGCUUCUUUGCUUCUCCUCCCACCUCUCUCUCCUUCCCCUGCUUAGCAGUUAAACAUUCAAUUUCUAUUCUUUUGGUGGUUAAUGAUUAGCAUGCAUGAAUAAAGGUUUAGAUCUAAUCAAUAUCCCUAUUAUUUUCUUAAACAAUACAAGGAACUUGGGAGGUUUUAACUCCUAACACCCUCUUCCAGGUCUGCAUUAUUGUUGGGUGAGAUUGUAUUUCACCUUUAAAAAAUCAAAGCUCCCGGGGGAUCAUCAGGUAUGGCCACAGUUUUGAGGUCAGAGUCGUGUGGAGCGUUUGGGCUCCUCAUCAGGAGCUUGCUGGCUCCCUGAGCUCCUGCCUUCCUGGCGUUGUUUCUGGGUGUGGUUUGGCUCUGGCUGAGGUCACCUGUGGGAUUUCUCUUAGUAAGGGAAUGUCAGCAGCAAGAUUUCUUAGACUUCUUUGUGUGAAGUAUCUUCUUCUCACUCCCUAUCACUGGGCCUGGCUGUGACUAGUGCCCCAUCCUGUGGUCUCUGUCCCUCCCAAGGGAUUCUCACGAGAUACUUGCUGUUACUGUGUCUCUAAAUUCCUUUUAUACUUUCCACAUGAGCCGAAUUCUGGAUGAUUUCCUCAGAUCUACAAUUUAUUAAAUUGGUUCUCUCUUCUGGUCAGUGUUUUAUGUAAGGCACCCCAAGAAUUUUCCAUUUUAAUGACAAUUAUUUCUAGAAGUUCACUUGAAUUCUUUUCCUGGUCUCCCUCUUAACAUAGUCUCCCAUUUUCUUUUCUUUCUUCCUUUCAUGCCUUUUACUCCUGCAUGGUAUUGCGUGUUAGAAUGGUAGGAUCUUAAGGUGUCUGAUUUUGCUUUCUUUUUUUUUUUUCCUUUUGGGGUGGGUGGUGGGUACAGGGAUUAAACUCAGGGGCACUCGACCACUGAGCCACAUCCCAGCCCUAUUUUGUAUUUUAUUUAGAGACAGGUUCUCACUGAGUUGCUGAGCACCUUGCUGUUGCUGAGGCAGGAUUUGAACUCACGAUCCUCCCGUCUCAGCCUUCCGAGCCACUGGGAUUACAGGCGUGCUCCAUCACGCCGGGCCUGAUUUUGCUUUCUAUUCACAGUUCUCGGUUCUGAGUUUUGCUACAUUGUGUGUGUUUACUAAUUCUCUUACAGCAGUUAUUUACUUCCCAAGGUGAGCGAUGCUUUUGUCCUGGACUUAUCUUUGCUGGGGUGGUUUCUGUGAAGUGCAGGUGCUUGUUUGGGACCCUUCAGAUUCCGGACCAUUGUGUGCCAGCUUCUCACACUGGGUUCUUGAGCCUCUGGGGUGGUCUGAAUUGAGACCAUGCUGCUGGGCGGGGACAUUCUGCUUUCCCUGGAGGGGACCUUUGACUUUCCACAGCCCUGGAAGAUGCUCGACUUCUUGUUGCACCCCUGGCCAACAAAAGAACAGAUACCUGUCCCCUGUUUCAUGGCCCCCAGCCCUGUGACUGGGGAGAGGAAGAGCCGAGUACCGGCUGCUGCCUCUCGGGAGUCAGGACCCUGAUAUUUAUCUACCUGCAGUCCCUGCUGCAUCUCCCUGUUCCUGCCAUCCUCACGCGCUGACUCCUUGUCCUUCUUGCUCUCUGCUCUGCAACCUGAGGAGGCGCUCUCCUUGUUUGCAAGCUUGGCUGUGUAUUUACUAAUGGGGGGAUGGGGUCGAAUCUUAUCUGGCAUGUCAUGGAAGUGGGAGGGUCUCCCAGUCUGAAAACCGAAUUAGAAAUCAGUAAUGAGGAGGCCAUUUGUACUGAGGGUGUUAUUGCCUUUUUGAGCCUUGCUAUAUUUGCCUUGUGAGGUUGGGAAUGACGUUGGUGCCUCCCCAGCAGGAAGGAGGGGAGAUGGAAGUGUUAAGUUCUCAGGCUCCCCCCUCCUGCGGCUUCUGAGUUAUGCGAUGUGAUACACUUGUUCUGUUUAAGAAUUACUUGUCUGGGGGUACAGUUGAGGGCAGAGCCCUUGCCUGGCAUGUUGGUGCCAUCCCUGACUUUGACAAAAAAAAAAGAAAGAACUGCCUCUGAGUCUUGAACCUGGGGCUCCCCCACAUUGUGUUUUCCCACGUGCAAAAUUGUUCCAAAAAAACCCAAACACACAAGCCGCCCUCUGAAGGUGCUGAGCCCUGUGCAACCGACACUGUUGGACUGAAAUCAGAGACUCGCUGGGUCAUGUCAGCAGCCUGGGAACUGGCCACCAUCCUAUUGACUGGCCGCUCUGUCCUCUCCAGAUAAGAGACUCUCUCUCCUUACAGCGAGUUUUCCAUGCGUUUGGCUACGCGAAGCACAGUGACCAGCGCACAGUGAACUGCGAGACAGGGAUAGUGGCUGCGGCUCUCAGUCAGAUCUGACGACUGACCAGGCAGGAUUGACUUAAACAGGGACGUGUGACAAAAACAGCGAUCAUUCCUGAGUUGAACUGGGAUUAUCGACAGGCUUCCUCUUGGCUGAUUCCUGUGGCUGCUGGCACCAGAGAAAGCUGCAAGGAGACUGUCCUCUCAGUCCAGUUAGAAUGGCUGUCGUUGAAAACAAAACCACAAACACGAUAGCUGGCCCAGCCGCACGAGCUGUGAUCUCCAAUACUCAGGAGGCUGACGCAAGUAGAUUCCAAGUUCAAGGUCAGACCCUGUCUCAAAAUAAAAAGGACUGGGCAUGUAGCUCAGAGGUACGGUGCCCCUGGGUUUAAUCCCCUGUGCCAUAAACAUCAUCAACAACAACAACAAAAUAAAACAAACAGAAUGCUGGUGAGGAUGUGGAGGAAAAGGAGAGCUCAUUCACUGUUAGUGGGAAUAUAAAUUAAGACAGCCAUUAGGAGAACAGUGUGGAGGGUCCUCAGAACACUAAAAGUAGAUCUGCUAUAAGAUCAUUGAUCCCACUUCCGGAUACACGUAAAGGAAAUGAAAUCAGUGUACCAAAGGAAUACCUGCAUGGCCACACUUACUGCAGCUCUGUUAUGGAGCUAAGAUCCGGAAUGGCUGUGUGAGUGUGUCUAUGUAUAUGCACACAGGUGUGUGGUGAAAGACUGUUCAGCCAUGAAGAAGAAUUUGCAGCUAAAUGGAUGGAACUAAAGGACAUUAUGUUAGGGGAAAUAAGCCAGACACAGACAGAAAGGUUCUGCAUGUUCUCUCCCAAGUGUGGAAGCCCAAAUAUGUCGCGACCAGGAUAGAACACCAUAAAAAUUAGUGAUUAGAGGC
rnacentral:lncRNA from 1 species